UACGAAGGGGGCUAGCGUUGUUCGGAAUCACUGGGCGUAAAGCGUACGUAGGCGGACCAUUAAGUCGGGGGUGAAAUCCCAGGGCUCAACCCUGGAACUGCUUUCGAUACUGGUGGUCUGGAGUCCGGGAGAGGUGAGUGGAACUCCUAGUGUAGAGGUGAAAUUCGUAGAUAUUAGGAAGAACACCAGUGGCGAAGGCGGCUCACUGGCCCGGUACUGACGCUGAGGUACGAAAGCGUGGGGAGCAAACAGG
rnacentral:rRNA from 1 species